UUCUAUGAUGUGGCAGCCAAAAAAGCUUAGGCAGUCCUGGGCAGAGUGGUGUGGUGAUCAUCCCCACUGUACAUUGCUUUUUUCAGACCUCACUUGGAAUGUCUUAUUUAGUUGUGGGUAUUAUUGAUAAGCUGGGCAGUGUUCAGACAGCCAGCUAAGACGGAAAAGGACCUGGACUCCCUGUCAUUGGAAGAUCUGUGAAAGGACUUGUGCAUUUUUUGCUUGGAAGAGAAAAAAGACCCAAGUUUGAAUCCUGACUCAGUUACUUACUUUCUGUGUGACCCUUGGCAGUUUCCGGUUGCUGGCUUCACAUUUCCAACUGAGGGAGUUAGGAGGAGAAGAAUGAGGAAAAGGAGGAGAAGAAAGGGGAGGAGGAGGAGGAGAAGGAGGAGCAAGAGCGGUCAGCAAUCCUCUGAGGACUCAAUCUAAAAACCUGGUAAGACUUCUGUGAAUUGGUGCA